UACGGAGAGUGCAAGCGUUGUUCGGAAUUAUUGGGCGUAAAGCGCGUGUAGGUGGCUCCACAAGUCUGAUGUGAAAGCCCAGGGCUCAACCCUGGAAGUGCAUUGGAAACUGUAGAGCUUGAGUACUGGAGGGGGAAGUGGAAUUCUCGAGUGUAGAGGUGAAAUUCGUAGAUAUUCGGAAGAACAUCAGUGGCGAAGGCGACUUCCUGGACAGAUACUGACACUGAGACGCGAAAGCGUGGGUAGCAAACAGG
rnacentral:rRNA from 1 species